rnacentral:piRNA from 1 species
UAAUAUACUCGAGUGCUAAAAAUGGGAUGG